GGAGGAAAGUAGGGGAUCGCAAGACCUUGCGCUUUUGGAGUGGCCGAUGCCUGAUUAGCUAGUUGGUGGGGUAAGAGCCUACCAAGGCGACGAUCAGUAGUUGGUCUGAGAGGACGACCAGCCACACUGGGACUGAGACACGGCCCAGACUCCUACGGGAGGCAGCAGUGGGGAAUUUUGGACAAUGGGCGAAAGCCUGAUCCAGCAAUGCCGCGUGAGUGAAGAAGGCCUUCGGGUUGUAAAGCUCUUUCAGUCGAGAAGAAAAGGUCGCGACUAAUAAUCGCGACUCAUGACGGUAUCGACAGAAGAAGCACCGGCUAACUACGUGCCAGCAGCCGUGGUAAUACGUAGGGUGCGAGCGUUAAUCGGAAUUACUGGGCGUAAAGGGUGCGCAGGCGGCUUUGUAAGUCAGAUGUGAAAUCCCCGGGCUUAACCUGGGAAUUGCGUUUGAAACUACAAAGCUAGA
rnacentral:rRNA from 1 species